rnacentral:rRNA from 1 species
UAGGGAAUCUUCCACAAUGGACGCAAGUCUGAUGGAGCAACGCCGCGUGAGUGAAGAAGGUUUUCGGAUCGUAAAGCUCUGUUGUUGGUGAAGAAGGAUAGAGGCAGUAACUGGUCUUUAUUUGACGGUAAUCAACCAGAAAGUCACGGCUAACUACGUGCCAGCAGCCGCGGUAAUACGUAGGUGGCAAGCGUUGUCCGGAUUUAUUGGGCGUAAAGCGAGCGCAGGCGGAAUGAUAAGUCUGAUGUGAAAGCCCACGGCUCAACCGUGGAACUGCAUCGGAAACUGUCAUUCUUGAGUGCAAGAAGAGGAGAGUGGAACUCCAUGUGUAGCGGUGGAAUGCGUAGAUAUAUGGAAGAACACCAGUGGCGAAGGCGGCUCUCUGGUCUGCAACUGACGCUGAGGCUCGAAAGCAUGGGUAGCGAACAGGAUUAGAUACCCUGGUAGUCCAUGCCGUAAACGAUGAGCGCUAGGUGUUGGGGACUUUCCGGUUCU